rnacentral:lncRNA from 1 species
AUAAUAUUUUACGCUAAGGUUAUCAACCUUUUAAUUUCAUUCCAAUCAAAUACUACUAAUAAUAUCUCAAUACAAUAUUAUUAGUCAUAUAAAAAUAACUUAAGUCAUUAAUCACAUAAAUAAACAAUUAUUUCAAUUGUUUUCCUUUUUAAUAAAUAACUUGCUUAAGCAUUCUAAAAUGCUAUAAACAUUACAACACUUUAAACCCGACCCAAAGCUUCAUUACAAACUUGCAUAAGCCAUGCUCACGAGUCUCACUUCAUACAUCGCAUUUUUCCUAUUUUUGGACAAUUUGAUUUUCGAAAUAUUUUACCCAGCCUCACUAAAACAGCCAUAAAUCUCGCGUUUUAAAACAUUUAUGAGCGAUUCUUGAGCCCACGCGAAGAUAACUUCCAGGGCUACAACUUUUGUCUCACGACAUUUUUCCAAAAUCAUAACACAUCAGUCCAGAAAUUUACACAAAGGUGGCUGUUCGGAAUUUGUGGACAGUUUCGACUACGCACCUUCCGAACGCCAUAACUACCUCAUCCGGAGUCGGAAUUAGUCCGUUCCGGAGUCUAUGGAAAGCUAAAACAGUGUAAUACAACAUAUCAAAAGCUCAGAAUUUUUAAAGCACAAAAACUGGACGAAAU